UACGGAGGGGGCUAGCGUUGUUCGGAAUUACUGGGCGUAAAGCGCACGUAGGCGGCUUUGUAAGUAAGAGGUGAAAGCCUGGUGCUCAACACCAGAACUGCCUCCGAUACUGAGAGUCUUCGAGUCCGGGAGAGGUGAGUGGAACUGCGAGUGUAGAGGUGAAAUUCGUAGAUAUUCGCAAGAACACCAGUGGCGAAGGCGGCUCACUGGCCCGGUACUGACGCUGAGGUGCGAAAGCGUGGGGAGCAAACGGG
rnacentral:rRNA from 1 species